GUGCUUAACACAUGCAAGUCGAACGGAGUAUCCUCCCGAGACCGAGGAAGCUUGCUUCUGAAGAAUCAUUGGAAUACUUAGUGGCGGACGGGUGAGUAACGCGUGGGUAACCUGCCUCACACAGGGGGAUAACAGUUGGAAACGACUGUUAAUACCGCAUAAGCGCACAGUACCGCAUGGUACAGUGUGAAAAACUCCGGUGGUGUGAGAUGGACCCGCGUCUGAUUAGCUAGUUGGUGAGGUAACGGCCCACCAAGGCGACGAUCAGUAGCCGGCCUGAGAGGGUGUACGGCCACAUUGGGACUGAGACACGGCCCAAACUCCUACGGGAGGCAGCAGUGGGGAAUAUUGCACAAUGGGGGAAACCCUGAUGCAGCGACGCCCGCGUGAGUGAUGAAGUAUCUCGGUAUGUAAAGCUCUAUCAGCAGGGAAGAUAAUGACGGUACCUGACUAAGAAGCACCGGCUAAAUACGUGCCAGCAGCCGC
rnacentral:rRNA from 1 species